rnacentral:rRNA from 1 species
UACGUAGGGUGCGAGCGUUGUCCGGAAUUAUUGGGCGUAAAGGGUGCGUAGGCGGUUGGGUAAGUCUGAUGUGAAAUCUCACAGCUUAACUGUGAAACUGCAUUGGAUACUAUCCAACUCGAGGAAUGGAGGGGAGACUGGAAUACUUGGUGUAGCAGUGAAAUGCGUAGAUAUCAAGUGGAACACCAGUGGCGAAGGCGAGUCUCUGGACAUUUCCUGACGCUGAGGCACGAAAGCCAGGGGAGCAAACGGG